UACGGGGGGGGCAAGCGUUGUUCGGAAUUACUGGGCGUAAAGGGUCCGUAGGUGGCUUGCUAAGUCAGACGUGAAAUCCCUCGGACCUUAACCGGGGAACUGCGUCUGAUACUGGAUGGCUUGAGUGUGGGAGAGGGAUGCGGAAUUCCAGGUGUAGCGGUGAAAUGCGUAGAUAUCUGGAGGAACACCGGUGGCGAAGGCGGCAUCCUGGACCACGACUGACGCUGAGUGGAGCGAAAAGCCAGGG
rnacentral:rRNA from 1 species